GAGGAGCUGUGUGGAGCAGCAUGAAUAAGCCUGAAAGAAUCCUUUGCGUGGAUUCAACCCCGGGUCUCAGUGUUUUGCCUGAGGUCAGGAAUAUCUUUCUCUUUUCCAAAUUAGGCAAUCGCUGACAGCUCAGCCUGUUUUGAAACAGUUGGAGAAAGUUCCUCCGUGAAACUGGAAUGAAAGCUCACCUCUUUUUCAAAGUCACCCUCAGGAGACCGCCAAGGCCCAGGAUUUAAGGAGGUUUGAUCAGUGCUCUGAGUGCUGGCGUGAUUGGAAUUCUGAGACCUCCAAAUGGGGCCGCUUUCUCACUUCACCUCCAGACGACUAAGAAGAUGGAAGGGGAAGUACAGGCAGUGAACCAGGAAGCGCAUCGACUCAGAGGCACUUGACCCUCCCAGGAGUCGGCCAGGACGCCUGCUGGCUGGCGCAGGGCCCAGAGCAUGUGUUUCCACACAUACUACUCUCAUUGGUGGCUUCCGUAGAUGCCCGAAGAGUAUCUGAGGACCACAUCACUAUACUGUCUGGUGUUUUAAAGACCACAACCUUUCAUCUUGAAAUUUCAAGGAUUUGGUCCUUAUUGGUCCCAGACCAACCCAGGAGAGAGGAGCAAUGCUCAGCACAAAUUUGGAUUUUCCAUCAUUUCAAGCAGAUGUGCGAAGCCAGAUGUGGACCAGCUCAAGGAAGGAGGGCCUUAUGGCCAGAGUAUUUUACAUAGUCAGUGGUAUAACUCAUGAGAGCUAAAUAGAAAAACGAUGAAUUUAGAUGCAGAACUAAGCAGAGUGAGAGGAAAGAAAAAGGCUUGUCACACAAUCUUGUCUCUGUUAUCCAACAAGAUAUGCUAACAUUUCUUUAGGGUUGAGGAAUCCCCUUGUGAAGACUAUGUGUGUAUACAUGUGUAUAUGUAUGUGUAUUUGUUUCAGAGUGUGUGUGUGCACGCAUUCAUAUGUACUAUCUGCUCUAGUCAGAGAGGUAAGAUAGCCAAGGCUAAUGAAGGAUGCAAGCCUGUUGAAAUGAAUCAAUAUUUUGGCCUCCUCUGGCAACCACAUGAACAAAUGUAAUCUGAAAAACAUUAUUAAAACCCAUAGCCCCCAGACAUUGUAGGUUUGUGUGGGCAAAAGUAAUUACAGAACUAAUUCCUUUGUGUUAUUGAAAAUGCCUUAGGCUUGGUAUUGAUAUGGCAAGAACAGCGAUCUGUGAAAACAAAGCAGGCUUCCUUUUUGCUUUAAUUUACUCUGGUCACAAUUCUUUCUUCCUUUGUUAAAUUGCCGAGUUUUACCCAGAAUGCUCAAUAUGAUAAAGGAGACAAAUAGCCUGUGUCAACUCUACACUUGGGGUUUCUAUGAGAUAGGCACAUGGCCUAAUGGGUACUGUUGGACAAAGGAUAUCUUAGCUUCUAAAGUACCUUUGUAGCAGAAUUACCUAAGGAGCCUUUUAAAACUGCAGGUGCCUGCUCUCCAGCCCAGAUAACCUAGUUCAAUUCAUCAGUGUGGAUUAAGGCAUUCAUAUAUACUCAGUCUGAGUCCAUUCAUUCAAUAGCUAGUCACUGGGAACUUAGUUAGAACCUAUUAUCAGUCAAGUUUCUCAGCACAUGAAAGUAAAUAGAAGAGAAAUGGGUUUGGAGAAACAACUCUUUGGGUAAGAGCACUUGAUGAGCAAUCGAGAAGACUGUAGGUCAGUCCCAGCACCCACAAAAUGAGCCACAAGUCUUGCAUAAACCUGUAACCACCAGCUCCGAGGGGACAGGGACAGAAAGAUCCCUGGAACUCACUGGUUCUCUAGUACGGCUGAGAGAAUGUGAAGCCCAGGUUCCAGGAGAGACCCUGCCUCAAAGGAAAAGGCAGAGACUAAAAUAAGACAUUAGUCUCCAUCUUCUGUCUCUGCAUGCUCACUCAGGCACAAGCACGGAGUAUACACACACACACACAAAUAAAUAAUUAAGGCUAAAGAAAUCUCUGCUCUUCCAGGGGAUCAAAGUUCAUAUCCUAGCACCCACAGCAGGUAGCUCACAACCACUUUUAACUUCACCUCCAGAGGACCUGACGCCCUCUUAAGGCCUCUGCAGGAACUAAAUGCACACGAUGUACAUACAGACACAAAUACAUAUAAAAAUUUUUGAAUAAAAAAUAAUUUAAAAAAAAACAGAAACAGUAAUAGCCUUAAUGGAGCUGGCACACAUGAAGUUCACAAAUAGUAAGUAUAGCAUGCCAACAGCCAUAAGUCACAUGGAAAAGGAAGCAGGAGAGAAUAGGAGGCUUAGGAGGCUUAAAGGGGACAGAAUUUUUAAUAGGGGAGCUGGAAAACUAGAGUCAUAGAAAAGAGUUAAAGAAGUAAGCCACAUAGAAACCACAGAAAUAUAAUUGAAAGGUCAUAGAUAAAGAUCCUGGGCUAGGAAUAUGGCCAAUUUAUGUUUGAUGAACAAUACAGAAGGAGUUGGGCUGACAUGAAUAAAGUCAGAGAAGAAUCAGAUAAAAGCCAACAAUGAAGGACCCUGCGAGUCAAGACAGAGACUCUAGUGUUUUGUUUGCUUUGAGGAGACUUGAGCAGAAGAAUCUAAGUUGAGCUUUGUACUGUCAGCCUUGUCUACUUCAAUAAAAACAGGCAGAGAGAGAGCCUUGAAGGGAAAGAAACAGAUCCCUUGGAAACUGGUUCGUGAUCCAGUCCACAGUGGCUUGGGCCCAGGAUGACAGCUGGGGAUGGAGAAUAUAGAUCCAGGGUAUGUUUUUAAAGAAGUACAGACAGGAUUUGCUGAUGGACAGAACUGUGGGUGUCAGAGAAGCCGGGCAAUCAAAGUUCCUUCCCAACCCAGAACCACAGAUAGAGAAGAGUUCCUUCUACAAGGGCAGGAAAGAAAGACCCAAGGGAAAUGCUAAGAGCAUUUUGUAUCAGAUGUGCUAUAUUUGAGUUCCGUGUCGAAAGAAGUGUUAAACAGGUGGGGGAACAGAGCUCAGAAAUACGUCUAUGCUGGAAAUAUAAAUUUGGCUUCAAGAAGCACAUAAUUUAAAGUCAUGAGUGUGGGUGCCAUUGCUCAAGAAGGAUUCAGACCUGCUUCCUGGUUUAUAGAUGGAUCUGUCUUUCUCUGUGUCUUCACAAAGUAUUUCUGUUCUAGGGACACAAACCCUAUUUGCUUGCCUUCAUACCACAGUCAAUCCCAAUGUCCCCACUCCUGAUACUAGGAACGAGGAUCUAGGAGUUUGAAGGAAUGUAAACAUCAAAUCCACUCGGAGUACUGGGAAGUCAUAGUUAGGAUGUAGAGCCCAGGCAGUGGCCUGAUUUCCAAGCUGGUUGUUAUUCUUGGCACCCAAGGGCUCCUCAAGUCUGCUCCUUCAGCAUAGACUCUGUACCUCAUGGUAGGCCCCGCACUCUUCUGAGCUUCCCAUCUCACCCUUCUGCCAUCUGCUGUGAAAUGCAGCUGUCAACAAACAGAAUGUCUUUGACUGAGUGUUCCAUAGAAAUGUUAUCAACAAUAAAAAUCAAAGCCCUCAUUGGCUGCCUGCUGAACCAAGGUGAAGAGUAGAUUCUGACAGGGAGACUCUAUUGUUGGAGGUACCACAUACGUGAGUCAUAGAACUUGAAGAUUUCAUACUGAUA